rnacentral:miRNA from 10 species
GCUCGCUCCGCAAUGCACCCAA